CAGUUCCUUCAGAUAUUCUCGCAGAAGUUCCUCCAGAGAUUAACUCAUAAGUUUCUUCCGAGGAUUCAUACAGUAUAAUAGUUUUUUCAAAGAUUGCUUCAGAAGUUCUUUCGGUGACCUCUCUAUAAGUUCGUUCAGGGAUCUCCCUUAUAGCUCCAGGAGGAUUCAAGAAUGCCUCCAGGUAUUCAUUAGGAAUUCCUUCAGAAGUUCCCUAAGCUGUUUCAACAGGGGUUCGCUCAGGUAUCUUUCCAGAAGUCCCUUCAUAGAGUCUUUCAGGACGAUUCACAGAUACCUCCUAGAGAUCCACCUCGAAAAUUUCGUAAGUAGUUCCUUCAGGAAUUCCUACAGAAGUUUCAGGGAUUCUUGCAGGUGUUUCUUCAGAGAUUCCUCCUGAUUUUCUUCAGGGAAGUUCCUUCAGAUAAUCUUCCAGGAAGAUCCAAGCAUACCUCCAGGAGAAUUCUGGUAUUCCUAUAUAAACGGUCCUUUUAAAAUUCCUUCAGGAUAUUUUUAGGGGAUUCCCAGAGAAGUUGCUUUAGGAAUUCUUCCAAGUGUUCUUUCAGGGGUCGUUCCUGAGGUUACUACAGAGAUUUUUCUAGGAGGACUCACGGAUGUCUCCAGGAGUUACUUCCUACCGGAAUUCCUCCGAGAAUCCCCCCUGGAGUUCUUGCAAGGAUUUCUCCUGCAAUUUCUUCGGGGAUUCCUCCUGACUUCCUUCAGGGGUGCCCCUGGACUUCCUUCGAGGAUUCUUCCAAGAUUUUUUUCGGAAGAUUCCCCUAGAAUUCCUUCGGAAAUUUCUUUCGAAGAUUCCUAUUGAAAUUCCUUCGGGGAUUUUUCCUAGAUUUACUUUCGGGGUUUCGUUCUAGACUUUUUCCGAGGAUUCCUUUUGAAAUUCUCUCGGGGAUUUCUCCUUAUAGUCCGUCGUGGAUUCCUUCGCGGUUUUCUCAUUGGAUUCCCUUAACGAGUCCUCUUAGAAUUCCUUCGAAGAUUCCUCUUGGAAUUCCUUCUGCGUUUCUUCUGGAAUUCUUCUUGAAUUCUUUCGGGGGAUUUCUACUGAUCUCUCCUGAAACUCCUUCGGGGUUUCCUACUGGAAUUUCUAUGAUGGUUCCUCUUAGAAUUGUAUCACAGAUUCCUCCAGAAGUCCUCCUGGAAUUCCUUCGGAGAUUCCUCCUAGAAUUCCUUCGAGGACUCCUACUGGAAUUUCUUCGGAGAUUUCUCCUGGACUUAUAAUGGGAAUUCCGCUAGGAAAUUCUUCGAAGAUUUCUCCUAGAGUUUUCUCAGAAGGUCCCUCUGGGAUUGCUGCAAGAACUUCUCCUGUAAAUUCUUCGAGGAUUUCUCCUGGAAAUCCAUCAGAAAUUCGUCCUGGAAUUCCGUCAAGUAUUUCUUCUGGACUUCCUUCUGAAUUUCCUUUGGAGAUUCUUCUAGGAAUUCCUUCGAAGAUUUAUCCAAGAAUUCUUCGGGAUAUGACUCCUGGACUUUCUUCGGAGAUUCUUCCUGGAAUACUUUCGGAGUUUCCUUUCGGAAUUGUUUGGUGAUUCCUCUACAAAUUUCUCCGCAGAUUCCUGCCGGAAUUCCUUCGGGGAUCCCUCAUGAAAUUACUCCGGAAAUUCCUCGUGGAAUUCUUCCAGGGAUUUCUCCUAGAAUUCCUUCAGGAUAUACUUCUUGAAUUCCUUCGGAGGUUUCUCCUAGAAUUCCUUCGGAAAUUCCUCCUGGAAUUCGUUUGGCGAUUUCUCUUGGCAUUCCUUCAGGAUUUCCGUUUGAAACACUUUCGAGAAUUCCGCUUGGAAUUCUUCCGGAGAUUCCUCCCGAAAUUCCUUCAGUGGUUUCCCCUGGCAUUCCUGCAGAUAUUUCUCCAGUAAUUUCUUCGGGGAUUCUUCCUGGACUUUCUUCGAGGAACCCUCCUAAAAUUUCUUCGGAGAUUCCUCCUGGAAUUUCUUCGGGCUUUUCUCUUGGGAUUAUUUUGGUGAUUUAUAGAAUUCCUACGGAAAUACUCUUGGAAAUCGUUCGAGGAUUCCUUUUGGAAUUCCUUCGGGGAUUCCUAAAGAAUAUGAGAAAUUCAACUUGAGUGAAAACUCUGUCCUAAUAAACCAGUACUGCAUUUAGUAUGAAACAUUGGCCCUUAUCCAGGUAGGUGUCUGUCAAUUAUUCUGAAAAGGCCAAACUUUGCGUUUCGUUAUUUGUGUAUCAUAAUUUAAACCCUUUUUGGUAUAACGGUUCAUUUCGGGAACUGACAAUCGGAGAACAAUGGCAUCGUUUCUCCGUGCCUGACUAUUUCAUCAUAUUUGUUUCAUAUUAUUAUUUUUAAACAUGGCUGUGAUAUUCUUCAGUUGAUGCAUGAUAGUCGAAAUUCGAUACACAUUUACUUCUGUUUUUAUUAUCCAUAUAGUUUAAAUAUUGUAUUUUUUCACCUUCAAAUGUCUCCAUCUUUUCCGACUCUAAUCUCCUGUCCUGACUGAACUUAACGACUCUAAUUCCAGUGGUUACGUAUAAAAGAAGUAAAACACAAAUUGCGCUGAUGAUGUUCCAGCGACGAGUAUUUUGAAAUGAUUGCAGUUGUGCAGAUGAACCGGUUGUCUUUUUUCAUACCAAAAAUCUAAUUUUGCUAUGAAUGUAUGUUACUCCGGUUCGUCAUUCAACUUCAGACAUAAGCUGUUGUCACAAAUGUCAUGUGUUUGUUUUUUACUACUAGGUGUAUCGUUGCGUCUGAGAUCUCACAUUAUGUUAUGACUUUAACUAUUCAGCUGCAUCAGUCUUUGAGAUAUUUUACAUCACAUUGUUUCGAAUGACGGUGAGCCGGAAAAUGUAUCAUUCGGAUAAUAUCGAAACUAAGAUAUUAUGAAAAGACAAGACAGAUGAAUCCCAUAUUGUUAAAUUCUAUCAAAAUUUGCAUGUCAACCGGGCUCAAUUUAAAUUGCAGAAAAGCAAGUUAUGCUGGACAUUAAUAAGCUCUAUAUCAGCAUUUAAGCACACAAGGAAAGCUUAUACGUAUGUAAUCAGCCUUUUAGAGCAAAUGUAAUCAUUUUACGUGACCAGAUUAACCACGUAUGUAGUCGAUGUUUGAAAAAAGUGGCGAGAAUUCACAAAACGCAAAGAUAAUCAAUGCAGUAAUGCGAUACUUUUUUAAAUAUGUAACAAUUCUUGCUUAGAUAUCCAUCAUUGUGAGAUGAACAGUGUUACCAAAAAAAACAGUUUAGAAACUUGGACAUUCCAUUUGCACUGGCAAUCAUUUCACAAUACUUAAUUAUACUUGUUGCUAUAACACAAACUAAAUUCUCAAAGGCUACAACCUUCUACGGACGUUGUUUUGUAAUUGUAAAACCUAGCUUUUAAUUACUUACGAUACUACUUGAUAGCUACGAUGCUGGGGUCAAACAAGGAUAAGAGAUAAGACUUAUUGUACCUUGACAGAAUGUAACUUGUUUUCGGUUCAUCUGAACUUCCAUUGAGAAAUUGAAAGCUGCCAUUGUUACGUUACACCAAGGUACACCCUAUACAUAUCAUCUGUGAUAGCCACGGCACACAUGUCGAUCCACAACGGUAACGCGCGACUAUA